UACGGAGGGGGCAAGCGUUGUCCGGAUUUACUGGGCGUAAAGAGCGCGCAGGCGGUCGUUCAAGUCGCGUGUGAAAGCCCCCGGCUCAACUGGGGAGGGUCACGCGAUACUGAUCGACUCGAAGGCAGGAGAGGGAAGUGGAAUUCCCGGUGUAGUGGUGAAAUGCGUAGAUAUCGGGAGGAACACCAGUGGCGAAGGCGACUUCCUGGCCUGUUCUUGACGCUGAGGCGCGAAAGCUAGGGGGGCAAACGGG
rnacentral:rRNA from 1 species